rnacentral:rRNA from 1 species
UACGGAGGAGGCAAGCGUUAUCCGGAAUUAUUGGGCGUAAAGCGUCCGCAGGUGGCACCUCAAGUCUGCUGUCAAAGACCGGGGCUUAACCCCAGAAAGGCAGUGGAAACUGAAGUGCUAGAGUGCAGUAGGGGUAGAGGGAAUUCCCGGUGUAGCGGUGGAAAUGCGUAGAGAUCGGGAAGAACAUCGGUGGCGAAGGCGGUCCGCUGGGCUUCUCCUGACGCUCAGGCACGAAAGCGUGGGGAGCAAACAGG